ACCAGACUGGCUCCACCCAGAGCCAAGAGAGGAUCACCAGCCUUCUGAGGCCUGCUCUUUUCUCUGGCUGAGCACUUCCAUUCUGACUCCCCUCAGAUCUCUCCCCAGGCAGGUGCCGGCCGGCCUCACCGCACCCCAGCCCAGCCAUACCCGAACCGUCUCUGCGCCGCUGCCCACGCUGCCGCUUCCGCCCAGCACACCGAGAAUUUGGGUUUGUGGAUUCGUUUAUUUGCCAGCUCCACGGAUCGGGGCAGGGGCUCCUGGCUCCCAGCGGAGGGCGCGAGGAGAUGCGUGGCCGAUUGCUCAGUGCUCCGGGUUCCGAGCUACUGCCUCCAUGCGCACAAAAGCAACUUGGAGGCCCCAGGUGUUCCAAGGGCACCUAGUUUCCACCAGGACUGGGUGAGGAGCAAGGAGAAAGCAGAUGACCAAAAUUGGGCCUAUGGGGAGUCCCAGAAUGUGGCCCAUCAGAGGUCUGGCAGCCUCAGGACAGGAGCCUCUGGGGCUGGAAGCCUGACAGCCAAGGCGCAGAAAAGUGGUCAGCCCCCUGGCUGCAGCAGGACAGCAAAUGGGGGAGCGACAGAGUACCCAGCUCAGGUAGGGCUCAGGUUGGGGCCCAGGGAGGGCUCAGGUAGAGCAUUCGUGGAGGCUGUGCCUGUUUUCUCUUUGAACUGGGCACAGGAAGGCUUAUCUGACCACACUGGCAGGGUCUGUGAGUUUCUCUUGCUGAGAGAACUGAAGCUAAGAUGCUGCAGUGACCCCUGGGGCCUGUGGCUGGUCAGGGAGCUCAGCACACAGGCCCAUAUGCCCAAGCAUCCUCUCCCGGGUGUGGUUGGUCCUGAGUGCCCAGAGACCUUUUCCUCCAUCUCGGUGGCAGGCAAGCUGGUAUGUGGCUUCCCCUCCACCUGUCUCCUCUGGAUGCCACCUGCAUCCUUGAGCUGCCCUUUAGUCAGUGUGGGUGGGUUCCUGCCCACCUCCAUGCCAGGCACCCACCUCCGCCCUGGCCCAGGUUGGAGGUUGGGCAGGAUGGGGAGAAGCAGAGUGUGCAGGCUGGUGGGGGGUCAACCCAGUGCUCAGAGCCCACGGGGCAGUGAGCAGGACUCAGCACCAUGCGCUUGAUGAGCUCAAGAGACAGCUUGCCCAGACUCGGAGUGGGAGGGCCCUGACUUCCCCAGUGGCCCCAAAGAGCAUGCAUGGAGGCAGAGGGUGGGCUCUUGACGGGUGGACCUGGACCACAGAGGGAGGGAUGCAAGGGAAGCAGGCACACAACCCACCCUCCUCUGAGGGCUGCUCAAGACUUUCCAGAGGAGUCCUGCCCUCUGGGCAUCCAGCUGGGAUGCCUGGCCACACACCCAGAGGUGAUGGUCCACAGUCACCCCCACCCCCAGGCCCCUCCCACAGAGCUCCUUUGUAGCGGUUGUGGCCCUUGCCCUUGGGGUAUAUAACCCUUGCCUCAGGCUCUGCUUUGUGGGGACCUUGACUGAGACAAGCUGGGGAUCUGGGAAAUGGCUGGGGUGACACUGGAGAGGCUGGCCAAGGCUGGGGUCACUGCUGUGUCUCUGCCCCAGUCAGAUAUUGUGAAGUAAGAGAGGGGGUGGACAGGUGGACGCUUCCUUCAAAAAGUCCACUUCACUGUGCUUGGGCCCUGGGUGGGAACUGGAAUCCUGCGAGGGGACCAGAUGGCCGACUGAAAGACUGCGGGGACGCCCUCUGCCAGGGCUAGGUCUGGCAAGGGCAAAGGGGUCUAACCCUGUGGACCCCCUCCCCUAGGCUGGGUGGAGAGCCUCAGAGCCUGCCCCCAGACGGCCAGCGAUCAAAGAGAAGAGUGGAUCCAGGAAAAAUCGAGCUGCCAAGUGGUUGAUUGGCUUUGCCUCCAUCAGCCUGAUGAAUAUUCAUGAGGUGCGCUCUCUUCGUGAGCCAGAGCUCUGCGUUCAGCCUGUGCGCCUGCGUGUGCGCCUGCGUGAGUGCGUGUGUGCGGUGCAGGUCACACACGCCUCUUCCGCUGCGUGCAGGACGCCAGCCCGCGCUUGGCCCGGAUUGGCCCAGCGGCGGUCUAGGAGAUGCCAUGGCAACCCCUGGCUGGUUAUCUGGCGGGUCUCCCCUUCUUCCCUUUUCACUU
rnacentral:lncRNA from 1 species